rnacentral:lncRNA from 1 species
AGAGAUUUCUUGACAAGUCUAAAUAUCGAAGACCUUUUAGUGAAGCCAGAGAAGAUGGUAUGGUUCCAUUGAAGGAGUUUCCUUGCAAAUAGAGGUAUUCUAAGACUGUGCAUUCACCAAUGGUUCCAGGAAUGUUACCAGAUAGAUGAUUCUCUGAGACAUCUAGCUUGUUGACACUUUUUAGCUUACCUACUUCUCUUGGUAAGCCACCACUCAAUGAGUUUUUUGACAAGUUCAGUAAGUUUGUUAAAGAGGAAAGACUAAAGAGUUCAAUGGGUAUGGUUCCUCGAAGAUUGUUUUGUGAAAGGUCUACGUAUUGUAGCUUUUGGCAAUUUCCUAUGCUUGAAGGAAUAUUUCCUUCUAACAUAUUAUCUCCUAUAGUCAAAUGAUACAAUUGACUGAGGUUGCCUAUGAUGGAUGGUAUCUCUCCUGAAAACUUAUUUCCAUCCAAUGAUAAUUUUUGCAUUCUCUCAAACUUCCCAAAAGUAGUAGGAAUAACUCCUUCAAAGUGACAAUUGUCCAGGCUCAAGAGAAUUAAGCCAAUUAGAUUUCCUAACUCUGGAGGAAUUUUUCCUGAUAUCUGAUUACCCCCAACAUAUAGUUGUCUCAGUUGAGUGGAUAAAUUUCCUACAAAAGUUGGUAAAUUACCUCCAAAAUUAUUAUAGGGUAUAGAAAUCGCUUGUAGUUUACUACAGUUUGUCAAGGAUUUUAAAAACUCUAAAUCCUUAGUUGAAUUGUCACCUAAAUUGUUUAAUUCUAGAUUUAGCACUUGAAGAUCAGGUAACUUUCCUAGACUUGGAACUUGUCCGACCAAAUGGUUUUGUGCUAAUUCUAGUUUUCGUAGGGCAGAAGCAUUUGCAAUUGAAAUAGGGAUUGUACCUGAGAAUUGAUUUCUUCCUAUUAAAAAAUAUUGUAGAUUUGAGAACGUGUUGAACAUAUUGGGUGGAAGAGAUCCAUUAAAUUCAUUGAAUCCAGCUCCUAUAUAAAUAAGAGAUGAUAUAUUAGAAAGACACGGUGGAAAUGUUCCAUAUAGUCUGUUCUCAAGUAUUUCCAUAAGUAUCAAUUUUUUGAGGCUGCACAUUUCUUGUGGAAUAUUUCCCUCUAAGUCAUUUAUACCCAUUAUAAGAGUUGUUAGAGAUGAAAGAUUUCCGAUGAAUGAUGGAAUUCUUCCUGUUAAAUUGUUUUCUGAAAUCCACAACGUCUUAAGCUUAUGAAGAGAGCUGAUUCCAAUUGGUAAUUUACCAAUCAAAUGAUUUCCAUACAAGUAUAAGCCUUUAAGAUUGGACCAACUUGUCAAGUUUGUAGGAAUCUCUCCUGUCAUGUAGUUAUUGUUGAGAGAGAGUGCCUGCAAUCGGAACAACCGACUAAGUUCGUUUGGGAUUUUUCCAAAGAAACUAUUGUUUGCAAGGUUGAGAUUUCCCAAAAAAGAGAGAUUGCCAACAUGAGGAGGUAUGAAUCCAUGUAACUUAUAUCCUUCUAAGUUUAACUGUGUAACUCUUUGAUUUAUGGGACUACAUGUAAUUCCAUGCCAAUUACAGUAGUGAGUUGAAAUAUUCCAAGAGGCCAAGAUUCCAUAUGGGUCAUUUGAUAUUGAUUCUUUGAAUUUCAGCAAUGCCAAGUUAUCUGUCUCAUUUCCUAAGGGAGAGGUAGUUGUGUUUUGGAUGAAGUUGAAAGCAAAGAGAAGAGAUAAACAAAGUGAAAAUGUUGGAAACAUGAUAUGAAAAGGUUUUGAGGAACAAGGGAUUAUUUUAGAUGGUGAAAUUAAUUUGAAUAUGCUGUGUAGUUAUUACUUAUUAUAUACUGUUUUGUCAGUUGAGUGGGGAAAAAAAAGAUUCUUCCUAUUAUGUGUUUGCUUGAGUGGAAAGAAAGUGGGAGGAAAGAAAAUUAGGAAAAUCAAUGAACUUGGACUAAAGUUAGUCCAAGUUCAUUCAUUAGUUCUCCAUAAUUUUCUUUCCUCUCCCUUUCUUUCCACUCAACCAAACACAUUAGUUAAAAAAAAUUCUUCCUCCUUUAGUAAAAAAAAAAAUUCUUUCUCCUAUCAUUUUAAACGAAUGAGUUAGGUAGUUUUUUUAUUUUAUUUAUUUAUUUAUUUAUUUUUGGGGGUUUUUAGUUUUUUUGAAGCAUGGUGUGUUUUUUUUUUNNNNNNNNNNNNNNNNNNNNNNNNNNNNNNNNNNNNNNNGUGAAGCAUGGGUGUGUUUUUAGUUGACGAUGUAUUUUAUUUUUUAAUGUUUAUUUAUACAGGAAAUUUUUAAUGUGGACCACUGAUCAUUGAUUAGUUUUUAAAAAAAUUUAAAAUUUCAACGAUGAUAUAUAUUGUUGUUUGAAAGUAUAAGGGGAUGUAUUAGAUUGAGAUUUCGAAAAACUAUUUAGACAAAAGAGUUUUGAAGAUUUUCAAAAAAUUUAUUGUUUUGACAAAAAUGUUUUGAAGAUUUUAAAAUAAUUUAUUGACUUUGUGGGAUUUUUAAAGAUUUUUUUAAAACAUUUUUUAAAUCGAGAUUCAUUCUAAGUGAUUUCUAAUACAAAUUUUUAAGAUUUCACGGUAUUUUAUGGAUUUUUAAGAUUUCAAAAGAUUAACGAAUUUCAAACAAAAAUAUAAAAAAGUUACAAAAGUGAAUUUAUUUUAAUAUAGUUCACCGCAGUUUUGUACAUUUUCUUUGAAUUUCUUCUUUGUUUCUACUUUUUUUGUUUAUAUUUUUCUUUCUGAUUGUUGCCUUGGAAUAAAAAAGUGAGGUUAAAUAACAAUAUAUAUAUAUAUAUAUAUAUAUAUAUAUAUAUAUAUGUGUGUGUGUGGUUUGCUAAUUUUGACCCACCUAAAAACAUGAAGGUCUAAAUUAGUAAGAUGCACAUUUUCACUUUGGGCAAAAAAUCUUUGACGUUAAGUUAUUUUACACUAAAAAAUUGAGGGUUAAUUAGGUAAAUUUUAUUAAAUGUUGUGCACUCAUUUGCUAAUUUAGACCCACUUAAUUAUAAAUAGGAAAAUGCUAAACAUCCCGAAAAUUAUUUCACGAGAGUUUACCGAAUGAUGUGGCACCGCAUGUUUUAAAGUUUGGCUCCAUCUCUCUCCAAUUUUAUUUUUUUACGGCAACAUCUCUCUCCAAUUGUACACUAUCUUUGCCGACAAAAAUGGACUCACCGUCAGACCAAAUAACAUUGCAUUUUUUUAAACCAAUUUGAGAAGUGAAUGUCAUGGAAGGGUUAGUUGUGUACUAGUGUUUCUUCCUUCUUUACUACUAUAUUGUCGAGGUGCUUGUUCUUUCAUCGUAUAGCUUCAUAACUUUAUCAUGUUGGUUUUUCUGCUGAACUUUCUUAUUUUGGAGUUUGAUUUGUUGGCUUGACUUCCAAUUCAAUACAUUGAGAAGAAAAAAUUAGGGGCGACAAAGCAGAGUUCAUAGAAAAAUAUAUAAAUAAAAAGAGAGAGGUCUGGUAGAAUCAAGGACUGGUAAAUCUUUGCGUAUGAACAUUUGUAUGUGGUGUAGGUGAAUUCGUUGUUCAUUUUCCUGAUGUAUAUUGGCCUAUGUUAUGCCCAAUAAUCAUUAAAGUUCCUUCUUUUUCUGUUUCAACAAAAAAUAGAGGUUUUUGGGACAAUAGGUGGUGAUAGAAAAGCAGAGCAUAGACCACAAAGGCAAGUAAUACGACAAGUGGUUACAAUAAUUUUAUUUUAAUAAAAAUUAAAAUAAAUAUAUAUAAUAAAUUAAACUGCUUUCGGGAUGAAUUCGGGAGAAAUUCCUUCGGUACAUAUACCAACGCUCUUAUAAAUAUAUGCAAUUUACAUAAACAACCUAAAAAAACAAAAAAUGACAACUUAAGAAAACAUGUUACUCAACUUUGAUAUUUUUCUCUCUUUAAUCAAAACAAAGUACUGUGAAAAUAAAAAUCACUGCGCUUUAUAUUAAUCCAAAAAUUAAUGCCUUUCGUAUAAAAUCUUACAUUGGAUUUUUUUGGUUUUUUUUUUUGUUUUUAUAUAAUUUAAAGUUGAUGUAAUAAUAUCAUUAAUAAUAUUCAGGUGUUAUUAUAAAAAAAAAUAUUCAGGUGCUAUUAUCAUUAAAAAUAUUUUUUUGAAAACCAAAAUGUUGGUAGGAUAAAAAAAAAACUAAAAAAGAAGACAAUCAUUUUUUUUUUACGCAAGAAAAGAAAACAAUCAUUUGUUUAGUUUACAUGAAUAAAUAAUACUGUACGAGUUGGGAAAUUCGGAAACAUGAUCAGUUAUCACGCAACAACUAAUUUUAUUAGGCCACAGGGUAACGGUAGCCUUCUAGUUAAAAUUUAUUUGAAUAGAGAUAAAGGGAUAUUCUUGUUCAAAGUGAAAAUGUGCAUCUUGCUAAUUUUGAUCUUUAUAUUUUUAGGUGGGGCUAAAUUAACAAAUUAUAUAUAUAUAUAUAUAUAUAUUAUGAAAACAUGAUUUUCUUUAUCCCAAAUUUCAUCGAUGGAUAUGAUUGGAGUGAUAAUUGUAGUAAUGUUUUAUGCACAGUGAAUAAAGGAAGAGUCGAAAAUCUAGGAGAAAACCACAUGUCCAGUUAUCUUAAGGUUUGACUAAUUAUUUUUAUUCCCUAAAUUGAAUCUCUGAUCGAGAUUCAAAUUGAACCCUAAAUUUUGAUUUCGUGUCUGCGGUCAUGUUUGGUGAACUUUUUUGCCUUUUCAAGCUUGAUUUUGAAACUUUUUUUGGUGGUGGUACAAAAACAUAACGAAAAAAGAAAAGAAAAGAAAAGAAAAAAAAUAUAAUUCAUUUUAUAGUUUUAAGAUUUGGUCUAGUGGUGAGGGAUUUUGGUAGUAUGUUAUAGGUCCUGGGUUCGAUCCCCAGCUCAUUGUAAACAAAACAAAAAAAGAGAGGAAGAGAGAAGUCUCAUGAAAUCUCAUGAAUUUUGGUGAGUAGGCAUGGCAAUGGGUUGAGGACGGAUUUUGCUGUCCCAAACCCAAUAUAAUAAAGUUUGGGUUUCCCCAAACUCAUCCCAAUUCCAAGCGGGAUUAAAAUGUUUAAUUAGUUAAACAUACCAAAAAUAGAAAUAAAAGAUAAAGUUAAUGUUGAUAAUAUAAUUUUUUACACUUUCAAUGUAUUAAAUUUACAAUUUUCAAAACAUAAUUUCCUUAUUUGAAUGCUUACCUAGUGUCGGGGGGCACCGUUUAACAUUUUUCAAUAUAAUUUUAAUAUAAGCAGGGCNNNNNNNNNNNNNNNNNNNNNNNNNNNNNNNNNNNNNNNNNNNNNNNNNNNNNNNNNNNNNNNNNNNNNNNNNNNCAAUCUACUCGAGUUUUCCCCAUCAAAGCGGAUAGGAUUUAGGCGGGUACCCGCGAGUAUCAAUUUUAUUGCCAUGCCUAUUAGUGAGAUUUGUUGAAUGAGCGUGUUCUUUGUGUUUUCAAAUAAAAGUCUCACAAAAUUCAUUCCAUGAAAGAGUCCAUUAAAAUCGAUAGAUUUUUGAAUAUCAAGAGACAUUUUAGAAAUCUUGAGAAAUUUUAAUUAAAUACCAGCAGAUUUUGAUGCCCUGAAAAAAAUCGUAAUGGUCGUGAUUUUUUUUUAUUGAGGAGAAAAUAAAAAUACAACAAGACAAACUUACGAGGACGCAGCCUCAAACAUCUGUUGCAUUUGCAAGCAGCACAUGCGCUAUUUGCGGAGGCGAAGAAGUCCAUAACUUAAGAUUAACGUCUGACUGAGCACCAUAUUUAGCCAACCAAUCAACACAUUCAUUCCCUUCUAAAAGAGUAUGAGAGAACGAUAAAGACCAAUUACGCGUUCGGAAGAUACGAUUCUGACAAAGAACAAUUGCGUGAGUGUGAAAAUUAUUGUUAUCUUCAAAGAUGAGAUCAAUAGCUGAUUUAGAAUCAGAUUCCAAGGUAAUUGUACUGUAGCAUAAGCCCCAAAGGCAAUUGAAGCCCUUUGAGAAUAGCAUAAAGCUCUACCAAAAGGUUAGAAGCACGACCACAAGAACUAGAUAAACUAUGCAUCCAUUCGCCAAUAUCAUUGCGAAUAAGACCACCAAAACCAGUACGACCCGGAUUUCCGAAAAAGCUACCAUCCAUGUUCAACUUCAAACAUGGAGCCGUUGGUCUAAUUGUCAUGAUUUAAUACCUCAAGAUUUUUUUAGAUUUUAUAAAAGUCUUGAUUAAAUACCACAAGAUUGUUUUAUCAUAAAAAAAUCUUCUAAAAUCAUUUGAAAUUUUAAUCCAAUACUGACCACUCUUUUUUAUGACUAAAAUAAUGACUUAAUUGAUAGCGGUUUGAGAAAAACAACGAAAAAUAAAAAUAUAACCUGAAUUGAACUGACUUCAAUUAUGUCAUUGUUUUAACAGUAAAGACUAGGAGAAUUGUGAAUUUUAUUUUGAACAAUAUUGUAAACCGUCGUUAAAAUAUAUGAUAAUUUUAAACACUAGUCCAUGAUGGAGCACCUAUGAAAAAGUUCCACCGUAGCACUAGCCUAUUUAUAAGAUAUGUACCUUUUAUACACUUUAUGCUCGGAUUAACUUUCAUUUUAAUUUACCGUAAAAAAAACAAACUUUCAUUUUAAUUCAAUCUAUACUGUUUUUUUAAAAAAUAAAUUAUAUACCAAGUAAACAAAGUAAAAGGUCUAAAAAAUUAAUUUUUUUUCCUGCAAAAACAAAUGAAAAUUUAGCAACCAAGUUGAAUCCAACGAGUGAAAUCAAGUUAUUCGUAAAUUUUAAACAAGUUGAACUCGAGCUAAAAAUAUGUUCAUAACGAAUUCGUUCGAGCCGUAUUUUGAGUUGAACCAAUUAUUAUUGAAUCGAGCUUAGACGAGUUUGAUUUAACUCGACUCAUUUUCAAUUCUAGGAGAUGGACACAAUAAAUGCUAGCCAUUAUUAUAUAUAUAAUCUAAUAGUGGAAAUAAAAAAACACAACUAUUAUAAGAAAACACCGUAACAAAAUACUCUAAAAUAAGGUAAGUUUGCAAAAAUAAAAUAAAGAAGUUCAUGAAAAAAUACAACCAUUCAUACCAGAAAACAGUGAAUAUUGCUAUGAUUGAAUAUGAAAUUCAAAAAAUUUGUGAAAAAAAGUGUGUGGGUCGUUCCCAACAAAGUAAUAACAAUUUAAAAUUUUAAUACAUGACAAAAUCACCAACCAAUGUUUCUGAUUGGAUUUUCAAAAUAAAUUCUCUCGGUCAAUAUAUAUAAAAGAAAUAGAGAUGGAUGAAAGAAGUCAUAACAAAUUGGGAAGAGUGAUUAAAUAAUUGGUGAGAUGCAAUUUUUGGUGAUGAUUUUGUGAAAAAUGUCAGCAAAUCGUAAUUGUUAUAAUUGGUGAGAUACAAUUUUUGGUGAUGAUUUUGGGAAGAAUGAUUAAAUAAAAUGUCAAAUUUGCUAAUCAUAAUUUAAACUACGCACAUUUUCGUAAAAAUAAUUUUUAUUUUUUAGAGUUUAUCUCGAUGUGUUUUUUCUUAAUAGCUGUGUUUUGUCUUUUCACCGUAUGAUCAAAUUCAAAGGAUAUGAUUUAUUGUUGAGAAAGAUUGAAAUAAGAGUUGAUUAAGAUGAUCCAAAUCCUAAUUGAAGUGACACGAAGAAGGAAUGAAAAGUACGCAGAAAGUUAAGAAAAUUGGAGUUUAUUGAGAAAUAAAAUACUCUUAUAUUAUUAAUGUAAAAUAUUUAUUUUUGCAAAUAACAUGAUAUAAUGAUGUGGAUAUUAUGAAAAUCUUAAUAUAUUAAUUAGUUGACAUUAAUUGAAAAAAGUAAAAUAAAAUUCAAAUAUCUGAUUUUAAACUUUUUUAAAAUUUAUUUAAAGACCUAUUUAAAAUUCUCAAAUAGUUCAUCAACUUUAUAUUAGUUAAACCUUGUACUUAUAUAAAGUAUCAUUUCAUUUGUUCUUAUCGUUGUUAAAGAAACAUACUGAAUUUGUACAUAUGUCGAAAGAAGGAAAGAAAAACACAUAAAUCACACACAUAAUAAGUCAAAAGAAAAAAACAAACACAAUGUACCAAAAAAAGAAAAAAACAAACACAACAUGCCAAUAACAAAGCAAACAUGUGAUAAUUUAGAAAAAUAACUUUUAUACUUAUAUGUCUAUAUAUAGGGGCCGUCUUUACCAUUUGCAUUCAGUUUAAUGAAGUUGGACUUUCAAUUUUGGGGUUCAAAUAAAUUAUUAUAUGAUAGAUUUCUAAAAAAAAAAAAAAGUGUUUGUUGAGUUUGAACUUGACAUGUGACAUUUAUCCACUUUAAGAAUGAAAUUUAUAGCCACUAUGCAGUUUUCAAAGUUUUAGGUUUGUCUCUAUUGUACCGAUGUCGUGUCAAUUUUGUAUUAGCUCUUGUGAUUGAUGUCAAACUGUUUGACUUGAAAGAGUCAUUAAUACUAGCCGCUUGUUGCAGGGAGUUGUUGAUGACACCUAUUCUGUGUUAACAGUUGAUUUAUUCGUUAUACUUUUCAUCUNNNNNNNNNNUGGUAUUAAAAAUACGUAUGUUUGUUAUAAGAGAAUAUAAAAUUACUCCUAGGAAAAUACUAUUAUGCCAAGGAGGCCGGCUUUGCAUUCUCCUCUAAUAGUGGUGGGCAACAUUUUUUCGAGGCAGUCGGGGAAUUAAAUGUUGCUUAUUAUCACUAUCUCUCUUGUAUAAUCAUCACUUAUCGUUGUAAAAACUAAAAAAAAUAUAGAAUUAAAAUUAAAAAUUCUUGGGAACUUGACUAUCCAAACAAUUUUUUAAAAAUAUUUAUUUCCUGGAUAGUUAUGUCUGGGAAAGUUAUUCCCAACAUUAUGCAGUUCGGUUUUUGGUUUUCUUUAUGUUGUUCCGAAUUUUUGUACGCUAUUGGAUUUUUGGUUUUUUUUUUUUAACUGUUCUAGUUGGUGUUAAUUUUUAUUUUUCUCUGCUUAUACACAAUAUUAAAUUCGAGAAACAUUUGCUUGGAUACAAGUAUUUAGGCACAAGCUUUAGGCACCCACGCACAAUUCAAAAUAAUUAAAAAUACAGCAGUGUUGUCUCCAUGAACUUAGGUAAGUUGUUUUCUUGUGAGUAUGUCUAACAGCUAUUAUUUGGGUUUGUGCCGUAAAAGACUUUCUCAUUAAAUCCCCUCAACAAGAAAUUUGAUUUUUGGCGGCGUCUUUUUUUGUUACAAGUCAUUGGCAAAAAAAAAAUGUAGUUUUUGCCAAUGACUUGUAACAAAAAAAGGCGCUGCCAAAAAUCAAGUAAUCUAACCAGAAACAAAGGCCUUUUUGAUGAUGCUUAAUUCUCUGGUGACAUCCACUAUAUUCAUUCUUUCUUUUGGCGAUUCCAUUGAACAAAAAGGUCCAAUCCGAAAAAGUGAAACUAAACACUUUUCUACAAUUGGAGUGAAAUUCCCAAUGUUUCCAUCUUUCCUUGUUACUUCUUCAUUUCUUGGUAGAAGAUGCCGGUCAACAAUCUGUAGAAGAUUAUCAUGAAAUGCUGUUUCAACAAACACGUGUAGAUUUUGACCAUCUUCGAACAUUUCAUCCGUUGGUCUUCUUCUGGUAAGCAUUUCCAGCAUAAGCACCCCGAAGCUAUACAUGUCACCAUAUGUAGAUAUUUUAGAACCCAUUCCAUACUCUACAAGAUAAAGGAAAAACAAUUAAUAUUCUGUAACUUGUUAAACAUCAGACAUAAACUAAAAGAUAGGAGAAUUCAAUGAAACAUUGAGUGAUCUAAGAGUCUAAAAAAUACCUGGAGGAGCAUAGCCAAUAGUCCCUUUAUCUCCAAUUGUACUAAUUUCCUGGUGAGAGGUGUCGUCAAUAAUUGAGAAAAGUCUUGCUAUGCCAAAAUCACUCACACGAGCAACCAUAUCAUCUUCAAGAAGGACAUUGCUUGGCUUUAGAUCACAAUGAAUGACCAAUUGCUCACAUUCACGAUGAAGGUAAUGAACUACAGAAGCAAUGUCGAUGGUGAUAUUCAAUCUUUGAUCUAGGUCUAACGUUCUCUGAUUCCUCGCAUUCACUAUCCCUGAAUGUAGCCAUUGUUCUAAGCUUCCAUUGCUCAUGUAUUCAAACACUAAUGCCUUAAAUUCUUGACCUCUGUAAUCUGUACUUGAACAUGUCAAAAUUUUCACCAAAUUUCGAUGUCUCAUAUUUUUAAGUACAUGUUUUGAACCGAAUAUUAUUAUCGAAUCGAGCUUAGGCGACUUCUACCUAAUUCGACUCAUUUUCAAUUUUAAGAGAUGCGGAUAAUUUGAGUGAUGGAACUAAGAAAGAAAAAUAUUCGGAAAGCUAAGAAAAUUGGAGUUUAUUGAGAAAAGUAUCAUAUAAAAUAUGCUGUUAAAUUUGUCUCGACGAGUAUUUUAAUAAUAUAAAAUUUUCAUAAUUUUUUAUAAAAAAUAAUUAAAAAUAUUAGUGAUCAAAAUUGUGUCGACAUAUGUGCAUAAAUCUAAAAAGACAAAUACUCCUCUAGUCUUGAAUGUAAGCAACAAAAAAAAAAAUCCUUUAAGAAAAUGAAGUAAAUGAUUAGAUAAAGUACUUUAUCCGGACACAAAUAUAAACAAAAUUGCAUUUUUUAGAUUAGAUACAUCUGUUAUUCAAUAAAUCUAAAAAGUACAUUUUUGCUUAUAUUUGUGUUGAGGGGGAGUAUGUCAUUUUUAAUUUUACCCUUACUUUUUGUUUUAAAUUAAAUUACUAUUUAUUAUGGGUAAAACUAGAAUGUUGAUGAUAAACUUAAUAUAGUUUUUGCUAGACUUCCAAUUUUUUUUAUUUGUUGCCUAUGAGAUCGGAGGGAGUAUCCCUCCGUGUCAAAAGACAAAUAAAAUGGAAUUGAGUGGGUAACAUUUCCUAGGCCAUAGUGCACCGCGUUAUUUAUUGAACUUUGAAGAGUUGAAGGAAGAGACAGAUGGAGGAGCCCUUGUUGAAAACGCGAGACACCGCAAGGCAUAGCAGUGCGUUUCGUGGCAAACGCGAGGCAUUUAAAGUCGAUUGCGAGGCGUUUUAGUAGCGCGCUAGGCGUAGAAAGCGCGCGAGGCGUAACAGUGCGUUCAAGGCGAACAUGCAAUGUUUGGGUAAGAUCGCGGGACGUUUAUGUUGAACGCGAGGCGUUUAAAGGCUAAUCUGAGGCAUUUUGGUGGUAUCUAUAAGAGGGAGGGAGUCACUUGUAAUUUUUUGUCUAGAGCCUCAAUCUCUGCAUCACCACUCAAAUUCCUUGGUGUAUUAUCAACUUGUACUCUAUUCUUUGCUCACUAAUUCCAUUCCACAACCACUACAUUAAGGUGUCUGUGAUUUAAUUUGACAAGAUAUUAGCAUGAAUGCAUGUUGCAUAUUAGGUUCAAUGUGAAUGUGAGGUUAGUUUGUAUUAUAUUGUACACUCUAAGUGCUUGACAAAAUGUCUGAGUGAAAUGUGUGAUUGAUUAUUGAUUAGUUUCCAUGUGAUUUAUGUUGCCAUACCAUAGGUGUUAGAGUGAAAUGUGUGAUUUAAUUUGACAAUAUCUUUUUUGCUCCCACAGAUAGAAAACUUGAAUGGAAGAGUAGACAGAAGGACUUCAGAAAGCGCAUCUUUUACACAUGUAGUAAGGUAUGUUGAUGAGUAAAAUUGUUCCUUAUUUGGUUUAGGAAGAAAAGCAAACCGACCAUAAAAUUGAAUUGAACUGUUAAUGGUUCGUCCGGAAUCGAACUGGUAUAUAGGUUCGGUACACCAAUUUUUUGGUUCCAAACCAGAAUUACCUCUAAAGAAAACGAAUUGUGCUUUUUCGAACUGAACCGUACCAAACUGAUAUUAUUAAUUGAUAAUUAGGACCGUUUAAAAACCAAAAACCGAAUAUAACGGUUAAACCGAACCACACCAAAAAGAACUGAAUUCUGACAUAGUUCACGAACUGGUUCUAUUCGUGAACUAUCAACCGCAGUUUGAUUUUCUUCGAUGAAGCUCAGUUUGGUAUUAAAGUUCUAUUUGGUUUUUUCUUUUUUCUAACUGUACUAAUUGAUGUUAUUGUUUUCUUUUGGAUGGCUAUACCAUAUUAAAUCCCUCGGUAUAUUUUACAACAAUGAUUCACUAUCCAGUUAUUCAGCACAAUAGGAAUGAAAUUGUUAUUCCCAUCAAUGGUAUCUUUUAUCAGCUAUUUUAGUCUAUUUUCAUUCUGUUACUUUUUUUAGUUAAUAUGGUUGAUUGAUAAUUUUCCUUUACAAUAUUCCUGUCAGUCCAAUAUGUAGCAGUUUUCGAAAAUGAAAACACAUGCUUUGCAAACACUUGGUAACCAUUUGUAUGCUCAUGCUUCAGCAUUUGUGUUUGUUGUGAACCAACUUACCCAAAAGCUUAAGUUUUUGCAGUAAUAGUAUUACAUCCAUCAAGUAUAUGAUAGAUAUAUAUUAUUACCUGAAUGAUGGAUUUUUUUUUAAUGGCUAGAUUAAGUAUAUCAAACAAUUCUACUAUUAUUAGGAACAAUUGAGGAUCAACUCAACUAUUAUUAGGAAAACAAAGUUCCUUAACUAGUAGUAGCUUUAUUUGCCACAACAGAUAGAAAAAUAGAAUGGAAGAGCUUUCAGAAGGGUUUCAAGAGAGGCAUCUUUUACAUUUGCAAGGUAUGUUGAUGCUAUGAUUAACUUCUUAUUUAAACUUUAUAGCAGCUAUUACAUGAAUGAUUGUGGAUGUAGAUACACUUAUUAUUUAAACUGUAAUGAUUCCUGCAUUCAACUCUAUUUCACCUUUGACUAAUCACGUGUUCGAACACCUGAAAUCAAGAAUAAAUCCAUUAUAUUUUUAUUUUGUAGUUUAGGAAUUUUCAUAUGGAUAGCAAUUUGGCAGCAAAUAUUAAGUUAAUUACAUAACUACUUAAUCAGAUAAUAAGAACAUAAGUUAAUAAAUAUGCAAUUAAGCAUCUAAAAAUAUCAAUCAAUCUCACCGGCGAGAAAGGCCUUUUUGAUUACGCUUAGCUCUCUGGUAACAUCCACUAUAUUCAUUCUUUCUUUUGGUGAUUCCAUUGAACAAGCAAGACCAAUCCCAAAAAGUGUAGCUAAAAACUUUUCUACAAUUGGAGUGAAACUCACAAUCUUUCCAUCUUCUAUUAUCGCUUCUUCAUUUCUUGGUAGAAGAUGUGGGUCCAAAAUCUGUAUUAGAUUAUCAGGAAAUGAAUUUUCAACAAACAUGUGUAGAUUUUGACCAUCUUCAAACAUUUCAUCUGUUGGUUUUCUUCCGGUAAGCAUUUCCAACAUAAGUACCCCGAAGCUAUACAUGUCACCAUAUGUGGAUAUUUCAGAACCCAUUCCAUACUCUANNNNNNNNNNNNNNNNNNNNNNNNNNNNNNNNNNNNNNNNNNNNNNNNNNNNNNNNNNNNNNNNNNNNNNNNNNNNNNNNNNNNNNNNNNNNNNNNNNNNNNNNNNNNAAUAUCAAGUAUAAACAAAAAGUUCAGACAGUUCAAUGAAAUAUUGAGUGAUCUAAGAGUCUACAAAAUACCUGGAGGAGAAUAACCAAUAGUCCCUUUAAUUCCAAUUGUACUAGUUUCCUGGUGAGAGGUAUUGUCAAUGGCCGAGACAAGUCUUGCUAUGCCAAAAUCACUCACAUGAACAACCAUGUCAUCGUCAAGAAGGACAUUGCUUGGCUUUAUAUCACAAUGAAUGAUCGUUUGCUCACAUUCAUGAUGAAGGUAAUGAAUACAGAAGCAAUGUCGAUGGUUAUAUUCAAUCUUUGAUAUAGGUCCAACAUUCUUUGAUUCUCGACAUUCAUUAUCCCCGGAUGUAGCCAUUGUUCUAAGCUUCCAUUUCUCAUGUAUUCAAACACUAAUGCCUUAAAUUCUUGACCUUUGUGAUCUAUACUUGAACAACAUGUCAAAAUUUUCACCAAAUUUCGAUGUCUAAUAUUUUUAAGUACAUUACAUUCUGCAAUGAAACUCUUAUGAGCUCCUUUCUUUUGAAGGUUCAGGACCUUUAUGGCAACAACUUUAUCUUCUGAUGCAAGAUUUCCUUUGUACACAGAACCAAAACCUCCUACUCCAACCAAGUUUGUAGCAGAAAACCCAUCAGUUCCAUUGUGAAGGUCUUGGUAUGAAACCUUGGCUAGCGGGUCAGUUGUUGGUGAAUUAGAAUACUGUUUCUGGUUUCUUUUCCUCAUGCAAUAGAUAGUUAGGAAAAUUGUCAUCGUGAGAAGAAUAGAUACCACACUAACAAUCACUACUAUCAAUUUGAUUUUACGUUGUUUUGAAUGUUUCAGACGUUUAACAGGGCAUGGCUGUAGAUGAAGCUCUGAAAUGCCUCCACAAAGCUUAUUGUUUCCGGUCACAGCUAACCUGCUUAUAUUUCCAAAGACACCAUCUAUUGGUACCUCGCCUUCCAACACGUUGAAAGAAAUAUUCAAGUGUUCUAGCACUGAUAUAUUUUGCAGAACAUUAGGAAUUGGUCCAGACAACCGAUUUCUUGACAAGUCUAUAUAUUGAAGACCUUUUAGUGAAGACAAAGAAGAUGGUAUGGUUCCGUUGAAGGAGUUACCUUGCAAAUAGAGGUAUUCUAAGUCUAUGCAUUCACCGAUGGUUCUAGGAAUGUCUCCAGACAGAUGAUUUUCUGAGACAUCUAGCAUGUUUAUACUUAGUAGCUUACCCACUUCUUUGGGUAAGCUACCACUCAAUGAGUUUUUUGACAAGUUCAAUAAGUUUGUUAAGGAAGAAAGACUAAAGAGCUCUAUGGGUAUGAUUCCUCUAAAAUUGUUUUGUGAAAGGUCUAGGUAUUGUA